rnacentral:tRNA from 1 species
UCUCUGUUAGUAUAUCGGUUAGUACAUGCGCCUGUCAGGUCGGGGUGAUGAACCCCGGAAUGCAAACGCGCGAAAGCGGGGUUCGACUCCCCGACAGAGAG